rnacentral:sRNA from 1 species
GCCAAGUGUGGUGGCUCACACCUGAAAUCCCAGACUUUGGGAGGCUGAGGCAGGAGGAUCGCUUGAGCCCAGGAGUUUGAGACUAGCCUGGGCAACAUAGUGAGACCCUGUCUCUU